rnacentral:sRNA from 1 species
GCUGGGCCUGGUGGCGCAUGCCUGUAAUCCCAGCAACUCAGGAGGCUGAGGCAGGAGGAUUGCGAGGUCAAAGCCAGCCUCAGCAAAAGCGAGGCACUAAGCAACUUAGUGAGACCCUGUUUCUA